CAGGAAGUCUGAAGUGUAGACUUAAUGCAAUGUCAAACAAAUAUUUUCUUCUUUAUUCUCUGUUCUUUUCCUAAAACAUUGUGUGUGCCUUUUUGACAACUGGUGAACAUUGAUCUGUUUUGAGAAAACUGUCUGUGGUGCUCAUAGCCCUCUUUACUAAGUGGGUAAGAGUCCAUUGUUACACGUGUAGUUGGCAGCUGCAGCCAAAGCAGUGAAAAAAGCAUUGAGGGGUGGUAUUGUGAAGUGUGGCUUUGGGAGAAACAUCCCUCCAUUAUCUCUGUGCCAAGUUACUUCCCUGAAUUUUGACAGAAGCAGAUAGUAUGGAGAAAGUAUAUUUGGGAUUGUCUGGUUUUGUGGCUGCUGCUGUUGGCUGAAGCAGUGGCAAAAAUGUUUGUUCAAAGAGAGAGAGUUUGCUGCAAGGGAAAAGGACUGCACUUCAUGCCACUGGCAUGUCCAUUGUACUUGGAAUGCUCCUGCACUAGACAGACUGAACAGAGCUGGACCCAACUUUAGUUCCCUGACCAUUCUUCUCCCGCUCUCUGGAUAGGUGACUCUUCUGGCUAGCUUUUGUUCUUCCACUGAUCUCCAAAUCUCUGUUGAGUACCCAUACCGUCAGCAUCUUGGCUCUGAGUGCCCCUGUGGAUUAUUAGAGCCACAAGCUUAGGAGUGGAAUGGUUUGGUGACCAUACAUCAUUGCAAGAGCCAGAAUGAAGCAUCUCGAGGCCUCCAGAGGGAGAUCCUGUCCACUUGAAUAAGAUCCCGGAGCCGACUAAGGCACGUCUGCUUGGGAAGAUACCAUAUUCCGUGGGAAGCAGGGACCACGCUGCUAAACAGCGAGGAGAGGCUCAUGCUUCCCUAAUAUCCAUCACUCCCUGCUUCCAGCGUGGUCGCAGACAGAGCAACAAAGAGGGUCUCAGAGCUGGACAUUUUGGAAUUUAUCUGCUUAAUUGGAUGUUCGUGUGUUUUCAUCUCAACAUUAGGUAACUAAAAUAGCUGUAGUGAAUUGAUUUGAUAUGUGAGGGAGGAAAUUGGAACCACCUCUCUGGUGCACUGGUAACUUGGAGGUGGUAGAACUAGGUUUGAUUUGCUUUUUUGUCAGUGUAAAUUUAGUGUUACAAGUGAACAUCAGAUCAACAUCAGAGUCUGUACUGGACUACAUUGCCUCAUUUCUCUUAUAAAUGAGAGAAAAGCCAUAUCACAGCAAUGGGAUUUCUCUUGCAACCGUUUUUAUAAUGAUCUUAAUUGCUAUUUCAGGGCUUAUUCCAUUUAUAUUAUUAUAUUCAGAAUAUAAAUAACAGUCUGACAUUACUCACCAUGUCUGGUGUGGUAGUUGUCACCUCUAGCUUUGACAUUUAGCUAAGUUGAUAACCCAAUCUUUUUUAUUAAAAGAGAAAAAGCAAAAUAACUUGCUUUCCUGUCAGCCCACUCCCCUGCUUAUACACCUAGUUUGGCUUUGUUUGAUGUUUCAUUGUUUUUGGUUUUUUUUUUAUUCUAUCAUUUGAUUUGCUGACUUCAGGAACAACUAUUAUAUUUUUGAAAUCUCUUGUUCUGUUGUUCUGUUAAACAGCUGAAUGUACAGAUGUUUAAGAAAAUACUGAAUUAAUUGAG
rnacentral:lncRNA from 1 species